UGAUCUGCUCGUAGAGCGCGAGCAGGGUAAAAUAAAGAAAGCUCAAACAGA
rnacentral:sRNA from 12 species